rnacentral:rRNA from 1 species
AACGCGAAGAACCUUACCCAGGCUUGAACAGCGAGUGACCAUCUCCGAAAGGGGACUUCCGCAAGGACACUCGUAGAGGUGCUGCAUGGCUGUCGUCAGCUCGUGUCGUGAGAUGUUGGGUUAAGUCCCGCAACGAGCGCAACCCUUGUCUGCUGUUGCCAUCAGGUUAAGCUGGGCACUCUGCAGAGACUGCCGGUGAUAAACCGGAGGAAGGUGGGGAUGACGUCAAGUCAGCAUGGCCUUUAUGUCUGGGGCUACACACGUGCUACAAUGGCCGGUACAAACCGUUGCAAAACCGUAAGGUCGAGCUAAUCGGAGAAAGCCGGUCUCAGUUCGGAUAGCAGGCUGCAACUCGCCUGCUUGAAGUUGGAAUCGCUAGUAAUCGCGGAUCAGCACGCCGCGGUGAAUACGUUCCCGGGCCUUGUACACACCGCGAGC